UCCGGCUUAUCACCGGCAGUCUCAUUAGAGUGCCCAACCAAAUGAUGGCAACUAAUGACAAGGGUUGCGCUCGUUGCGGGACUUAACCCAACAUCUCACGACACGAGCUGACGACAGCCAUGCAGCACCUGUGUUACGGUUCCCGAAGGCACUUUUUUAUCUCUAAAAAAUUCCGUACAUGCCAAGACCAGGUAAGGUUCUUCGCGUUGCAUCGAAUUAAUCCACAUCAUCCACCGCUUGUGCGGGUCCCCGUCAAUUCCUUUGAGUUUUAAUCUUGCGACCGUACUCCCCAGGCGGACAAUUUCUCGCGUUAGCUUCGCUACUAAGCCUUUCAAAGCCCAACAGCUAAUUGUCAUCGUUUAGGGCGUGGACUAC
rnacentral:misc_RNA from 1 species